UUCUGCAACAGGUGCCAGUUCACUGCUCUGUAGUUUCUGUGGAACUGGCGUCCGUUGCAGGGAU
rnacentral:pre_miRNA from 1 species